AGGGGAAUAGCUGGGUCGAAUGGUGGUUCCAUUCCCAGCUUUCCAAGGAAUCUACAUACUGCUCUCCAGAUUGGCUGUACCAAUUUGCAGUCCCACCAGCAAU
rnacentral:pre_miRNA from 1 species